GUGUGGUGUGUGGGGAGCGGUAGUGUAGUGCUUAGCGUGCUGUCUGUGUGUGUGUGUCUGUCUGUGUCUGUCUGUGUGUGUCUGCGUGUGUCUGUGUUUGUGUCUGUGUGUGUGUCUGUGCGUGUGUGGUGUGUGAGGAGCGGUGGGUGUAGUGCUUAACGCUACGCUGCGCUACCAACCCGGCGAACCGAGUUCGAUUCCCGCUCACGGCCACCACCGGUGACGAUUAUUUGAACCUCCCCUAGGUCGACUCAGCCUCAAACGAGUAACUGGUGUGGCGUAUUAACAUCGGCACUGGGGAGACAAAGGCGGCCGGGCGUGGUGGAUCCAAGUCCCGGGCGAAGCCGGGUCAUGUAACCAAAGGGCGGCGGGUGCAAGGCUACCGGUUCAAGUGAGGGACCGCUGCCCCGACACGGAUCAAUUUCGACUGACCGACCGCACGAAUCGCUUGUGCAGGUGGCCCAUGGGCCCCCCCGCGGGCCAACGACGCGGCGGCCCCCGCAAGGAGGCCUCCGACUGGCCCACGUCGGCCACCCUCGGGGCCGCGCUGGCCCUCCUCUUCGUUGCCGUCAGCGUCCACCUUGUCCGCAUGGGCUCCACCCCGACCCCGCGCUCGCUCCGUGACGAAGGCGGCGGCGAUGGCCACCCCCGGGCGCCCCCCCUCCUCCUCCUCUCGCGGCGCUGGCUGAUGCUGCGAGCGGAGUUCCCCACGCAGCCCCGCGCCGAGAUGGCGCGUCUGCAGCGAGCCGUCACCCGCCGCCGCGACGAACGGCGUUGACGGCGGCCCGCCGACGGGCGUCAUUCUCGCGGCUAACCCCGGCUCGGCGAGGACCCUCGGCUGCUUCUGCCGGGCCCUGCGGCGGCUCGUGGAGGCCUCCGGCACCCCGGCGCUGCUCCGCGCCGAGGGGACUCCCUCGCCGCCAGAGCCGCGACUCGUGACGCAGCUGCUGGCGCUGAUGUCCGCGGCCAGCGGCGGCGGCGGUGGCGCGGACCGGGCACGGCUCGCCCGCGUCUGGGAGGCUCUGGGGCCGGGCGGCCGCGGCGCGCUGCUCAUCGUGGGCUUCACGGCGGCCACGGCGGAGACGGGGAACUCGGGGAACGAGACGCGGGACGCCGAAAUCCCCUCCUCCUCCUCCUACCCCCUGCUGGAGAUGUUCACCCUGAGGGCAGAGGCGUACAUCGAAGAGGGCGGCUUCGUCUGCUGAAGUUGCCACCACUACCACCACCGCCCCUUCCGAUUGUGGGGGGGGGGGGGGGGUCGAUUCAUAAUGACCGACGGUUCGGGAGCGGGGCCACCCGGACAGUGGUGGAGUGGCGACACAGCUGCCCCCGGCUGUUGGGACCACUCCGAGUUCAGGGGCGAUGGGACAUCGGUUUCCUGGGUCCCAGGAUGAGAGUUCACUGUUGAUUUGUGUUUGUUUGUUUGUUGUUGUUAUUGUUGUUAUUAUUGUUGUUGUUAUUAUUGUUGUUAUUGUUGUUGUUGUUAAACACAGAGGCGUCACUGUGGACUGAGGACAGUGGCAACACGUCCAGUGGCCAGUAGCAGAGCAGCACUCGUGUGGACGUUGUCGCGUGUGGGAGCUGUCACGUGUGGGGAAGAGACGACGGUGGUGGUGGUGACAAUGGUGAUGAUGGUGGUGGUGGUGAUGGUGGUGAUGAUGAUGGUGGUGGUGACGAUGGUGGUGAUGGUGGUGGUGAUGAUGAUGGUGGUGGUGAUGGUGGUGAUGAUGAUGGUGGUGGUGACGAUGAUGAUGGUGGUGACGGUGGUGUUGGUGAUGCUGGUGAUGAUGGUGGUGACGAUGGUGGUGAUGAUGAUGGUGACGAUGGUGGUGGUGGUGGUGAUGGUGGUGGUGGUGAUGAUGAUGAUGACAGGAGGAGGGAAUUCCACUGUGGAGCGACGGUGCAAGGGAAGCAGCAGAGAGAGAGAGAGAAGUGAGGUUGACCUGCAGUGUGAGCGAGUGACUAUAUGAGUGAGUGAGUGGGUGAGCGGGUGAGUGGGUAAGUGGGUGAGUGGGUCACUAGGUGAGUGGGUGACUGGGUGAGCGGGUGAGCGAGUUUACGAGUGACUGGGUGAGUGGGUCACUAGGUGAGUGGGUGACUGGGUGAGCGAGUUUGCGAGUGACUGGGUGAGUGGGUCACUAGGUGAGUGGGUGACUGGGUGAGCGAGUUUGCGAGUGACUGGGUGAGUGGGUCACUAGGUGAGUGGGUGACUGGGUGGGCGAGUUUGCGAGUAACUGGGUGAGCAGGUGAGUGGGUGAGUGGGUCACUAGGUGAGUGGGUGACUGGGUGAGCGGAUGACUGGGUGGGCGAGUUUGCGAGUGACUGGGUGAGUGGGUCACUAGGUGAGUGGGUGACUGGGUGAGCGAGUUUGCGAGUGACUGGGUGAGCGGGUGAGUGGGUAAGUGGGUAACUUGGUGAGUGGGUGAGUGGGUGAGGGAGUUUGCGAGUGACUGGUUGAGCGGGUCACUAGGUGAGUGGGUGAGCGGGUGAGCGGGUGGGCGAAUUUGCGAGUGACUGGGUGAGCGGGUCACUAGGUGAGUGGGUGAGUGGGUGAGCGAGUUUGCGAGUGACUGGGUGAGUGGGUCACUAGGUGAGUGGGUGACUGGGUGAGCGAGUUUGCGAGUGACUGGGUGAGUGGGUCACUAGGUGAGUGGGUGACUGGGUGGGCGAGUUUGCGAGUAACUGGGUGAGCAGGUGAGUGGGUGAGUGGGUCACUAGGUGAGUGGGUGACUGGGUGAGCGGGUGACUGGGUGGGCGAGUUUGCGAGUGACUGGGUGAGUGGGUCACUAGGUGAGUGGGUGACUGGGUGAGCGAGUUUGCGAGUGACUGGGUGAGCGGGUGAGUGGGUAAGUGGGUGACUUGGUGAGUGGGUGAGUGGGUGAGCGAGUUUGCGAGUGACUGGUUGAGCGGGUCACUAGGUGAGUGGGUGAGCGGGUGAGCGGGUGGGCGAAUUUGCGAGUGACUGGGUGAGCGGGUCACUAGGUGAGUGGGUGAGUGGGUGAGCGAGUUUGCGAGUGACUGGGUGAGUGGGUCACUAGGUGAGUGGGUGACUGGGUGAGCGAGUUUGCGAGUGACUGGGUGAGUGGGUCACUAGGUGAGUGGGUGACUGGGUGGGCGAGUUUGCAAGUAACUGGGUGAGCAGGUGAGUGGGUGAGUGGGUCACUAGGUGAGUGGGUGACUGGGUGAGCGGGUGACUGGGUGGGCGAGUUUGCGAGUGACUGGGUGAGUGGGUCACUAGGUGAGUGGGUGACUGGGUGAGCGAGUUUGCGAGUGACUGGGUGAGCGGGUGAGUGGGUGAGUGGGUGACUUGGUGAGUGGGUGAGUGGGUGAGCGGGUGAGUGCGUGAACGAGUUUGCGAGUGACUGGGUGAGCGGGUCACUAGGUGAGUGGGUGACUGGGUGAGCGGGUGAACGAGUUUGCGAGUGGCUGGCUUGAACCGGUCAAUACCGGAUCAGCCGUCACCUCAGGGGACUCACUCGGCAGGUUUUUGUCUGGUCGCCGUCUCUCGUCGCUUCGAGACUAUUUUAUUAUUGUUGUUGUUGUUGUUAUUGCUGCUGCUGUUGUUGUUGUUGUUUACCAAAGUCAAAGCGCCGCGAGCUCGUUUUUUUUUAGAGGGGUGAGCUGGCCGCGCGAGAUGAGCAUGGGUGGAAAAAACCCGAUUUUUCCAGCGGCAGGCAUCGGGUUUUUUCUUUAAUACAAUUAAACCCGAUUUGGGGGAGUUAAAACGUGGUUUCAUGAAUACGAAACUCUGAUCCAAGGCUUCGGCUGCUUCCUCGUGGGUGCUGCUAUCGUACACGGGGGGGGGGGGGGGGGGCGUCGGGCACGGGGUAGUCGUAGAAUGCGGCGGGCAGGUUGGUCUUGAUGAACACGAGGAGCUUCUCUUCCACACUCGUGGGCGCCGCCAGUGAGUUCCUGAGCUUGGAAUGGACGAAGCCCAUCGUAGAGAAGUUGGCGAAGUACGGUUCUGCAAUUAGAACCAUUGACACCGGAUUUCUCCCAAUCUCAGAUGAUCGGGUUUAAUAUAAAAAUACAAUUAAACCCGAUUGUAAAAAACACGACUGUGCCACCCUUGGUGAUGAGAGCUCAAAGUUGGCUGAUGUCAUCGUCACCGCUAUCAUCAUCAUCAUCACGUGGUGGGGAUUCAUCGUCACCGCCAUCAUCAUCAUCAUCACGUGAUGGGGAUUCAUCGUCACCGCCAUCAUCAUCACCAUCAUCACGUGGUGGGGAUUCAUCGUCACCGCCAUCAUCAUCAUCAUCACGUGGUGGGGAUUCAUCGUCACCGCCAUCAUCAUCACCAUCAUCACGUGGUGGAGAUUCAUCGUCACCGCCAUCAUCAUCACCAUCAUCACGUGGUGGAGAUUCAUCGUCACCGCCAUCAUCAUCAUCACGUGGUCAUCUGAACGGCGCGUCGAGUGAUUCUCACUGUGGCGGGAGAGGCGAAAACCGCAGCAAGGGGGAUGGGGGAUAGGGGGUUGGAGUCGUCAUUGAAUUGACCAUUUGCCUCAGCAAGUAUCUUCAAUGUCUCAGCAGCUGCUGCUGCUGCCCCUUCGAUGUCCGGCCUCGAGUGGGCAGAGCAGUCAUUGCGCCUCUGGGAAAUCUGAAUAGGCCGUAGUGUCCCCUUUUGGGGGGCAAUAACAAAAACAAGAGGAGUUGCGUUUGAGGUGUUCAAACAAACUCACAAUGGACCGCCUUUAAUAGCAAAGGCAAUCGCCAUCAAGGCCGCAUUGACACACAUUUCCUGUGGCAACAACAACAACAACAAACCACGUGGUUAUGAUAAUACAGGGUGCUUCAAAACAAAGUGUUGACACUUAUGUGGAAAAAUUAAGGGAAAAUAAUAAUAAUAACACUGUAACGCGACGACAAACUUUAAUGUUAAUAAGCUUCAAAAAUUUCGAUGUAAAGCUUUCGUGACUGCAGGGAUUCAUCUUCUUGGUUCUUUCGGUAAAGUCACGUAGAAUGGAAAUAAUAAAAUAAUAAAAAUAAAACAUAAUAAAAUACAAUUCUCACGACGUUUCGGCCACAACGCAAGCAGCCGUCCUCAGGUGAAGAACAGGUCUGUCGAGAAGUGACUUUACCGUACCCUACCCGUACCCGGCCGGGUAUCGGGUACCCGAUUGC